rfam:Lactobacillus brevis ATCC 367, complete genome.
AUAAAUUGCAAUUAGGUGAGGUUACUUUAAGAACAUAGGUUGUUGCCCAGAAAUGUCGAGAGACAGGAAUGAGUAAAGCAGAAACUGCCGAAUUAAGGCUUUUUCAAAACAACUAGACUAGUUCUUACGUCUUAAAGUGCUAAAACUCAAUGAAUGCGUCGAUA